UACAGAGGUCCCAAGCGUUGUUCGGAUUUACUGGGCGUAAAGGGUGCGUAGGCGGUUGGGUAAGUCUGACGUGAAAUCCCCGAGCCUAACUCGGAAACUGCGUUGGAUACUAUCCGGCUAGAGGAAUGGAGGGGAGACUGGAAUACUUGGUGUAGCAGUGAAAUGCGUAGAUAUCAAGUGGAACACCAGUGGCGAAGGCGAGUCUCUGGACAUUUCCUGACGCUGAGGCACGAAAGCCAGGGGAGCAAACGGG
rnacentral:rRNA from 1 species